rnacentral:rRNA from 1 species
UACGAAGGGGGCUAGCGUUGCUCGGAAUCACUGGGCGUAAAGCGCACGUAGGCGGAUUGCUAAGUCAGGGGUGAAAUCCUGGAGCUCAACUCCAGAACUGCCUUUGAUACUGGUGAUCUUGAGUCCGGGAGAGGUGAGUGGAACUGCGAGUGUAGAGGUGAAAUUCGUAGAUAUUCGCAAGAACACCAGUGGCGAAGGCGGACUCACUGGCCCGGUACUGGACGCUGAGGUGCG